rnacentral:rRNA from 1 species
CAAUAGCGUAUGCUAAAGUUGUUGCAGUUAAAAGGCUCGUAGUCGAAUAUGUGAUUGAUAUUGAUGUUGAUCCAGUUCCGUUUGUGUGAGCUGUGUAUGUGACAAUCGAUCAAUCAUUUGUCUGUAUGAACUCUACUACUCUUGAUUGAGUUCUGGUAGAGGGAAUGGGAUCAUUUACUGUGAGAAAAUCAGAGUGUUCAAAGCAGGCUUUGUAAUGCUUGAAUGGUUCAGCAUGGAAUAAUGAGAUAAGACUUUGGUUUUGUUUGAUUGGCUUGACGAGUCAAAGUAAUGAUUGAUAGGGAUAGUUGGGGGUGCUAGUAUUCGAUGGUCAGCGGUGAAAUGCAAGGACCCAUCGACGACUAACUUAUGCGAAAGCAUUCAUCAAGGAUAUCUUUUUUG